AGCGGCGGACGGGUGAGUAAUACGUGGAUAAUCUUCCCUCGAGCUUGGGAUAACCCUGCGAAAGCGGGGCUAAUACCGGAUAAGACCACAUGUCAUAUGCCAUGUGGUAGAAGGUGGCUUAUAUUUAUAUGAGCUAUCACUUGAGGAUGAGCCCGCGGCCUAUUAGCUAGUUGGUGGGGUAAUGGCCUACCAAGGCAACGAUGGGUAGCCGGCCUGAGAGGGUGUACGGCCACACUGGCACUGAGAUACGGGCCAGACUCCUACGGGAGGCAGCAGUGGGGAAUUUUGCGCAAUGGGGGAAACCCUGACGCAGCAACGCCGCGUGAGUGAUGAAGGCCUUCGGGUCGUAAAGCUCUUUUAGUGGGGAAGAAUCCCACCCGGGCUAAUACCUCGGGUGUCUGACGGUACCCACAGAAAAAGUUCCGGCUAACUACGUGCCAGCAGCCGCGGUAAUACGUAGGGAGCAAGCGUUGUUCGGAAUUAUUGGGCGUAAAGAGCGCGUAGGCGGUUCGGUAAGUCUGAUGUGAAAUCCCAGAGCUUAACUCUGGAACUGCAUUGGAUACUGCCGAGCUUGAGUGUGGGAGAGGAGAGUGGAAUUCCCAGUGUAGAGGUGAAAUUCGUAGAUAUUGGGAGGAACACCCGUGGCGAAGGCGGCUCUCUGGACCACAACUGACGCUGAGGCGCGAAAGCUAGGGUAGCAAACGGGAUUAGAUACCCCGGUAGUCCUAGCCGUAAACGAUGGGCACUAGGUG
rnacentral:rRNA from 1 species